UUAUUCGGAAUUAUUGGGCGUAAAGGGCGCGUAGGCGGCUUGACAAGUCAAAGGUGAAAUCCCUCGGCUCAACUGAGGAACUGCCUUUGAAACUGUCUGGCUUGAGGCCGGGAGGGGGUAGCGGAAUUCCCAGUGUAGCGGUGAAAUGCGUAGAUAUCAGGAGGAAUACCGGUGGCGAAAGCGACUCUCUGGACGGCAACUGACGCUGAGGCGCGAAAGCUAGGGGAGCAAACAGG
rnacentral:rRNA from 1 species